UGCCCAGCAACUCCUAUCCCUACCUCCUCGUGGUACCGGCCGGAAACUAUGAGCAACCUUAGGGAAGAUCGCGUAACCAACCCCGGUGGGAACUUUGGUCGUAGGCUGACAGGGGGG
rnacentral:ribozyme from 1 species